CCGGCAUUUGGCAGAUGGCGCCACUGUUCACACAGCUGGGCGCAUUUUUUAGCACAUUUUGUUCGCGCGUGUGUGCUUUAGUGUUAGUGUGGUGUGUGUGUGUGUUAGCUUCUGGCUAAAUAAAUUCAUUUUUUUUACUGUGACACAAAAUAAAACCCAAAACGUUUACGCGAAUAACUAUUAUAGAGUGGUAUUACCGACUAAGCGGCUAAUCUCGUUGGCCCCCAUCUGGUACGAACCGCCGCGCCCCUAGCCAGUCCCAGUGCGUGCCCUCCCGACCCAGCGCAGCGGCAAUUCGGCUGCUUGACGCAAAAGUUGCAAAAGCAAAGGCAAAAGCAAACGAAAACUUAACCUCGCAAAAAAAGAAAACCCAAGCGAAGGAAAGACACCGAAACGAAAAGGCAGAAAAAGCACAAAACGCAAACAGCACAAACGCAAACGCAAUUGGGGAAAAAAAUAGGACCAACAACAAUCGCAAAAGCAAUGCAAAUUGGACAAAAAAAAACUGCCGCUAAA